UUGGAAAUAAAAUCGUAACAAGGUUUCCGUAGGUGAACCUGCGGAAGGAUCAUUA
rnacentral:rRNA from 1 species